rnacentral:rRNA from 1 species
GACGAACGCUGGCGGCGUGCUUAACACAUGCAAGUCGAACGGAAAGGCCCUGCUUUCGUGGGGUGCUCGAGUGGCGAACGGGUGAGUAACACGUGAGUAACCUGCUCUCGACUUUGGGAUAACUUCAGGAAACUGGGGCUAAUACCGGAUAGGAGCUCCUGCUGCAUGGCGGGGGUUGGAAAGUUUCGGCGGGUGGGGAUGGACUCGCGGCUUAUCAGCUUGGUGGGGGGGUAGUGGCUGACCAAGGCUUUGACGGGUAGCCGGCCCGAGAGGGUGACCGGGCACAUUGGGCCUGAGAUACGGCCCAGACUCCUACGGGAUGCAGCGGUGGGGAGUAUUGCACAAUGGGCGCAAGCCUGAUGCAGCAACGCCGCGUGCGGGAUGACGGCCUUCGGGUUGUGAACCGCUUUCGCCUGUGACGAAGCGUGAGUGACGGUAAUGGGCAAAGAAGCACCGGCUAACUCCGUG